rnacentral:rRNA from 1 species
ACGGAAGGCAGCAGUGAGGAAUAUUGGUCAAUGGGCGCAAGCCUGAACCAGCCAAGUAGCGUGAAGGAUGACUGCCCUAUGGGUUGUAAACUUCUUUUAUAUGGGAAUAAAGUGAGCCACGCGUGGUUUUUUGUAUGUACCAUAUGAAUAAGCAUCGGCUAAUUCCGUGCCAGCAGCCGCGGUAAUACGGAAGAUGCGAGCGUUAUCCGGAUUUAUUGGGUUUAAAGGGAGCGUAGGCGGCCUUUUAAGUCAGCGGUCAAAUGUCAGCGCCCAACGCUGGCCUGCCGUUGAUACUGAUGGGCUUGAAUACACACAAGGAAGGUGGAAUUCGUCGUGUAGCGGUGAAAUGCUUAGAUAUGACGAAGAACUCCGAUUGCGAAGGCAGCCUUCUGGAGUGCGAUUGACGCUGAGGCUCGAAAGCGCGGGUAUCAAACAGGAUUAGAUACCCUGGUA